CAGUGCAGUUGAGCAAGGAUGUUAAUGACUUGCGUAGUUGCGAUGCACAAGUCAUCCAAAAUUCAGCGUUCAUUGAUGCAGAUACGUCUCUAGGUGUUGCUAUGGGUAAUAGUUGCUAUGAUCGAGCAGGUGAUAUUGGAGCUAAACUAAGAUUUUUUUUAAAAAAAAAAAAUUGAGGACUUAAAUUUGUUAGUAUUUUGUAUAAAUACUCUUAAACGAUGGUUGAUGGAUAUUUGUUUUGUUGUAUGGACUUAAAUCUGUUAGUAUUUUGAUGGAUAUUUGUUUUGUAUAAAUUUCUAGCAAAGGCUAUGAAGCCAUUUUGUUUA